UUUAUGAGUAGAGUUACACUUCAACUAAGUUUAAUGGUGCAAUGCAAAUACUGUAUAUUAGAUUGAAAAUUACCGAAGAGCACCAGAGGGUUAAACCGAGGUGGCAGAAGUCACUCAUUUUCAUAACCAAUGUUGUUAAAACCGCUCUUUUCCACACAGCGAAAAUGCAUGGUGAUCAUAGCUGUCUAGUUAAUUUGUUGAAAGUCGGGAUCCCCAUUCACACUAAAUGAAAGCUGUACCACUAGACUAACACAUUUUAUACAAUCAACUCUUAAAAACUUUUUUCUUUUUUCUCCCCCUUUGGCCAUGUCUUAUUUUUCAGGACUGUUGCCCCUUCAAAAAGCAGCGCAUGAUGCCCCUGAGAAUAUACGCUUAAUUCAUCAGCAUGAUUCUACCAGCACCACUGCUAUUCCAACACGGAUUCCUGAAGUGACCAGGGCAUGGUGUACAUCUAUAAUACAGGUCUUAUAUGCUGUAUGAGACACCCAGGGACAUAUUUCCUGGUCAUGGUGAUUUGGUCACUGACUUCCUCUGGGGUUUUGCAUGCAGUAAGCAGAAAUGCGGUUAAGUGCAGGAGGUCUGAGUGAGAGUGCUCCGGGCAUGUGCAGAACGUCAUCUCUCUGCAACGUCCCCAAGGAACCAUCUUAUCCAUUUUUCCUGUUUUCUCUCUACAUGCAAAUAAUGAAGAAAAUGGCUGAUAAUUAAAGGAAUCUAUGAUUGUGAACGCAAGAAACUGCAACCAGCAGAUUAACUGUGACUUACACUGUUUAAUUGCUGGAGUCUAUACUGGAGCAAAUUUGCAUUUAUGUGUGUCUAUGUAUGUGUGGCAAAAUGCCAAGCGGCUUCCAGCCGUCUCCCUCGGAGAGUGUUUCUGGGAGUGUAAAUUCUGAGAUGAGACAGCUGAAAGCACUGAAUGCACACAUGUUGAAGGAACAGGAACUAAACAAAGUCAUUCAUUCAAAUUGCUCUGUUGUUCUGAUGUCCUGAGAACAGUUUUUGGACCCUUAAGCCUUAAAAAAGUUAAAAACUUUUGAAACAUUGAAUAUGUUUAAAUAUAAGUUCUCACAGGUGUUGUUCAAGUUAAAUAGACUUUAUAAAGCCACUAAAAUCACCUUGAAAUCAACUAAAAUGAUUGCUUAAAUGGCUCAUUAAAGCGUUUGAAGAUACAACGUUUGUAAUUUGUUGUCUAAUGCAAUACGCUAGAUUUCAAAGAAAUUAGUACUUCUUUCAACAAGGAUGCAUUCAGUUGAUCAAAAGUGACAGUAAAGACUAAAAACAAUGUAUCACAGUCUCCACAACAAUAUUAAGCAGCACAACU